CAGCCGCCACGGGAAUACGAAGGGGGCUAGCGUUGCUCAGAAUGACCGGGCGUAAAGGGCGCGUAGGCGGAUGGCACAGUCAGAUGUGAAAUUCCCGGGCUUAACCUGGGGGCUGCAUUUGAAACGUGUUGUCUAGAGUGAGGAAGAGGGUUGUGGAAUUCCCAGUGUAGCGGUGAAAUGCGUAGAGAUGUGGAGGAACACCAGUGGCGAAGGCGACUCUCUGGUCUGUAACUGGCGCUGAGGAGCGAAAGCGUGGGGAGCGAACAGGAUUAGAUACCCCCGUGUCCCUGUCUCUUAUACA
rnacentral:rRNA from 1 species